rnacentral:lncRNA from 1 species
UAGAGUAUUUCAUUUGGAGGUUAAAGGGAAUAAGAAUAAAGGAUGUAAAAUAACCAGUGACACCUUAGCUCUCACUACACACUUGGCAAACAAAUACAUUAGGUGACUACUGAUUAUCUGUAGCUAAAUCUUAUCUGAAGUACAACCAAGAUGAACAGAAACAUUUCACCUCACUUUUGGUGGAAAAAUACUCUUCUCUGAUUGAUCAUUCAGUUACACAGUGAUCCGCUUAACACAUCGCAGGUUGAUCUGCAAUCACAUAAGCAAGCAUUUGCAUUAGAACAAAAGGAAGAAUGAAAUGUUUGAUCUUUCAUAUGGUACUAUUGAUCCUAGAGCAACGCUAAAUAGGAGAUUAGUAACACACAUCACUCUCCCGGCAAGAAGCAGCUCUCCCGGCAGUAACACGCAUCACUCUCUCGGCAGAAGGUGACUCUU